GACCAGACUCCUACGGGAGGCAGCAGUGGGGAAUAUUGGGCAAUGGGCGCAAGCCUGACCCAGCGACGCCGCGUGAGGGAAGACGGUCUUCGGAUUGUAAACCUCUUUCAGCAGGGAAGACAAAAGGACGGUACCUGCAGAAGAAGCCACGGCUAACUACGUGCCAGCAGCCGCGGUAAUACGUAGGUGGCAAGCGUUAUCCGGAUUUACUGGGUGUAAAGGGCGUGUAGGCGGGGACGCAAGUCAGAUGUGAAAACCAUGGGCUCAACCUGUGGCCUGCAUUUGAAACUGUGUUUCUUGAGUACUGGAGAGGCAGACGGAAUUCCUAGUGUAGCGGUGAAAUGCGUAGAUAUUAGGAGGAACACCAGUGGCGAAGGCGGUCUGCUGGACAGCAACUGACGCUGAGGCGCGAAAGCGUGGGGAGCAAACAGGAUUAGAUACCCGGGUAACC
rnacentral:rRNA from 1 species